GUGAACUGAUCAUUUAUUUUACUUGUAAAGCGCGUCUUAUGGAACCAUCCACGUUUUUUUUUUGGACAUUUUGAUUGAUAGAAACCUAAAUUUCCGAUAUAGAAACUUUUCGAAAAUGGGUCAAAUGGGAGCCGAGAACAACAG